rnacentral:rRNA from 1 species
UACAGAGGGUGCAAGCGUUAAUCGGAAUUACUGGGCGUAAAGGGUGCGUAGGUGGACGCAUAAGUCGGAUGUGAAAUCCCUGGGCUUAACCUAGGAACUGCAUUCGAUACUGUGAGUCUAGAGUACGGUAGAGGUAAGUGGAAUUUCCGGUGUAGCGGUGAAAUGCGUAGAUAUCGGAAGGAACAUCAGUGGCGAAGGCGACUUACUGGACUGAUACUGACACUGAGGCACGAAAGCGUGGGGAGCAAACAGG